UAAGAUCGUCUGGAGUUCAUAUAUCCGAAGGUGGAUCAGUUAGUGUGUUUUCAGAGGAGGAUGAAUUUUGUUGCCCAAAUUGUGUGUCAAUGAGUGACAAACAGGCAACCAAAAUUUGUAGUAAGUUAACCCCUUUAAGAUGUAAUCUCCCUACUUUAUUUUUUAAUAUAAUGUCAGGUUUAUUUACAAUGUCUAAUCCCAGAUGAUUUUGCCUGUCAACGAGUAAAAACCUUCCC